rnacentral:rRNA from 1 species
GAGAGAUCUGGGAGUGCCCGAAAGGGAGCCUUCACACAGGUGCUGCAUGGCUGUCGUCAGCUCGUGUCGUGAGAUGUUGGGUUAAGUCCCGCAACGAGCGCAACCCUUGUCAUUAGUUGCUACAUUUGGUUGGGCACUCUAAUGAGACUGCCGGUGACAAACCGGAGGAAGGUGGGGAUGACGUCAAGUCCUCAUGGCCCUUAUGGGUAGGGCUUCACACGUCAUACAAUGGUACAUACAGAGGGCCGCCAACCC